rnacentral:rRNA from 1 species
ACGGAGAGUUUGAUCCUGGCUCAGGAUGAACGCUGGCGGUAUGCUUAACACAUGCAAGUCGAACGGGAUGCUUAGGCAUCUAGUGGCGGACGGGUGAGUAACGCGUGAGAAUCUGGCUCCAGGUCGGGGAUAACAGUUGGAAACGACUGCUAAUACCGGAUGUGCCGAAAGGUGAAAGAUUUAUUGCCUGGAGAUGAGCUCGCGUCUGAUUAGCUAGUUGGUGGUGUAAGGGACCACCAAGGCAUCGAUCAGUAGCUGGUCUGAGAGGAUGAUCAGCCACACUGGGACUGAGACACGGCCCAGACUCCUACGGGAGGCAGCAGUGGGGAAUUUUCCGCAAUGGGCGAAAGCCUGACGGAGCAAUACCGCGUGAGGGAGGAAGGCUCUUGGGUCGUAAACCUCUUUUCUCAAGGAAGAAGAAAGUGACGGUACUUGAGGAAUAAGCAUCGGCUAACUCCGUGCCAGCAGCCGCGGUAAUACGGAGGAUGCAAGCGUUAUCCGGAAUGAUUGGGCGUAAAGGGUCUGCAGGUGGAACUGAAAGUCUGCUGUUAAAGAGUUUGGCUUAACCAAAUAAAAGCGGUGGAAACUACAGAACUAGAGUGUGGUAGGGGCAAAAGGAAUUCCUGGUGUAGCGGUGAAAUGCGUAGAUAUCAGGAAGAACACCGGUGGCGAAAGCGUUUUGCUAGACCAUAACUGACACUGAGGGACGAAAGCUAGGGGAGCGAAUGGGAUUAGAUACCCCAGUAGUCCUAGCCGUAAACGAUGGAUACUAGGCGUGGCUUGUAUCGACCCGAGCCGUGCCGGAGCUAACGCGUUAAGUAUCCCGCCUGGGGAGUACGCACGCAAGUGUGAAACUCAAAGGAAUUGACGGGGGCCCGCACAAGCGGUGGAGUAUGUGGUUUAAUUCGAUGCAACGCGAAGAACCUUACCAAGACUUGACAUCCUGCGAAUCCUGGUGAAAGCUGGGAGUGCCUUCGGGAGCGCAGAGACAGGUGGUGCAUGGCUGUCGUCAGCUCGUGUCGUGAGAUGUUGGGUUAAGUCCCGCAACGAGCGCAACCCUCGUUUUUAGUUGCCAGCAUUAAGUUGGGCACUCUAGAGAGACUGCCGGUGACAAACCGGAGGAAGGUGAGGAUGACGUCAAGUCAGCAUGCCCCUUACGUCUUGGGCUACACACGUACUACAAUGCUACGGACAGAGGGCAGCAAGCCAGGGAUGGCAAGCGAAUCCAGAAACCGUAGCUCAGUUCAGAUCGAAGGCUGCAACUCGCCUUCGUGAAGGAGGAAUCGCUAGUAAUUGCAGGUCAGCAUACUGCAGUGAAUUCGUUCCCGGGCCUUGUACACACCGCCCGUCACACCAUGGAAGUUGGUCACGCCCGAAGUCAUUACCCCAACCGAAAGGAGGGGGAUGCCUAAGGUAGGACUGGUGACUGGGGUGAAGUCGUAACAAGGUAGCCGUACCGGAAGGUGUGGCUGGAUCACCUCCUUU